rfam:Cricetulus griseus cell line CHO-K1, whole genome shotgun sequence.
GCCUGGCUAGCUCAGUCGGUAGAGCAUGGGAUUUUUAAUCCCAGAGCUGUGGGUCCGAACCCCACAUUGGGCG